rnacentral:rRNA from 1 species
GACGAACGCUGGCGGCGUGCUUAACACAUGCAAGUCGAACGAUGACGACCGAGCUUGCUCGGUCUGAUUAGUGGCGAACGGGUGAGUAACGCGUGAGCAACCUGCCCUUCACUCUGGGAUAACCUCGGGAAAUCGGGGCUAAUACCGGAUAUGAGCUCCUGUCGCAUGGCGGGUGUUGGAAAGUUUUUCGGUGAAGGAUGGGCUCGCGGCCUAUCAGUUUGUUGGUGAGGUAGUGGCUCACCAAGGCGAUGACGGGUAGCCGGCCUGAGAGGGCGACCGGCCACACUGGGACUGAGACACGGCCCAGACUCCUACGGGAGGCAGCAGUGGGGAAUAUUGCACAAUGGGCGAAAGCCUGAUGCAGCGACGCCGCGUGAGGGAUGACGGCCUUCGGGUUGUAAACCUCUUUCAGCAGGGAAGAAGCGAAAGUGACGGUACCUGCAGAAGAAGCGCCGGCUAACUACGUG